rnacentral:rRNA from 1 species
GUAAAGAGCGUGUAGGCGGAUAUAUAAGUCAGAAGUGAAAUCCAAUAGCUUAACUAUUGAACUGCUUUUGAAACUGUAUAUCUAGAAUGUGGGAGAGGUAGAUGGAAUUUCUGGUGUAGGGGUAAAAUCCGUAGAGAUCAGAAGGAAUACCGAUUGCGAGGGCGAUCUACUGGAACAUUAUUGACGCUGAGACGCGAAAGCGUGGGGGGCAAACAGGAUUAGAUACCCUGGUAGUCCACGCCCUAAACGAUGUACACUAGUUGUUGUGAGGCUCGACCUUGCAGUAAUGCAGUUAACACAUUAAGUGUACCGCCUGGGGAGUACGGUCGCAAGAUUAAAACUCAAAGGAAUAGACGGGGACCCGCACAAGCGGUGGAGCAUGUGGUUUAAUUCGAUGCAAC